rnacentral:rRNA from 1 species
UACGUAGGGGGCAAGCGUUGUCCGGAAUCAUUGGGCGUAAAGCGCGUGUAGGCGGUUCGGUAAGUCGGCUGUGAAAGUCCAGGGCUCAACCCUGGGAUGCCGGUCGAUACUGCCGGACUAGAGUUCGGAAGAGGCGAGUGGAAUUCCCGGUGUAGCGGUGAAAUGCGCAGAUAUCGGGAAGAACACCCGUGGCGAAGGCGGUUCUCUGGGACGGUACUGACGCUGAGACGCGAAAGCGUGGGGAGCGAACAGG